GUAGGUGGCAAGCGUUGUCCGGAAUUAUUGGGCGUAAAGCGCGCGCAGGCGGUUCUUUAAGUCUGAUGUGAAAGCCCACGGCUCAACCGUGGAGGGUCAUUGGAAACUGGAGAACUUGAGUACAGAAGAGGAAAGCGGAAUUCCACGUGUAGCGGUGAAAUGCGUAGAGAUGUGGAGGAACACCAGUGGCGAAGGCGGCUUUCUGGUCCGUAACUGACGCUGAGGCGCGAAAGCGUGGGGAGCAAACAGGGAUUAGAUACCCUGGUAGUCCACGCCGUAAACGAUGAGUGCUAAGUGUUAGGGGGUUUCCGCCCCCUUAGUGCUGCAGCUAACGCAUUAAGCACUCCGCCUGGGGAUACGGCCGCAAGGCUG
rnacentral:rRNA from 1 species